UCGAACGAGAAAGUGGAGCAAUCCAUGAGUACAGUGGCGACCGGGUGAGUAACACGUGACCAACCUGCCCUCGAGUGGGGGAUAACUCCGGGAAACCGGGGCUAAUACCGCAUAACAUCUUCGGAUCGGAAGAACUGGAGAUCAAAGGAGCAAUUCGCUUGAGGAGGGGGUCGCGGCUGAUUAGCUAGUUGGCGGGGUAAUGGCCCACCAAGGCGAAGAUCGGUAGCCGGCCUGAGAGGGCGCACGGCCACACUGGAACUGAAACACGGUCCAGACUCCUACGGGAGGCAGCAGUGGGGAAUUUUGCGCAAUGGGGGAAACCCUGACGCAGCAUCGCCGCGUGGAGGAUGAAGUCCCUUGGGACGUAAACUCCUUUCGACCAAGACGAUAAUGACGGUACUGGUGGAAGAAGCACGGGCUACUCUGUGCCAGCAGGCGCGGUUAUAAUCA
rnacentral:rRNA from 1 species